rnacentral:rRNA from 1 species
AGGACGAACGCUGGCGGCGUGCUUAACACAUGCAAGUCAAGGGGGCCCGCAAGGGCAACCGGCGAACGGGUGCGUAACACGUGAGCAACCUGCCGAUCUGCGGGGGAUAGCCGGCCCAACGGCCGGGUAAUACCGCAUACGUUCUCGAGGGGGAGUCCCCUUGAGAGGAAACCUUUAUUGGGCGGAUCGAGGGGCUCGCGGCCUAUCAGCUAGUUGGCGGGGUAAUGGCCCACCAAGGCUCUGACGGGUAGCUGGU